GGCUAGAUACGACCAUGAGACCGAUACCGUGAAGAAAAGUUGAAAAGUACUUUGAAGAGUUAACGAGUACGUGAAACCGUUCAGAGGUAAACCUAAGAAACCCAAAAAAUCGAACGGGGAGAUUCAUCGUCAACGAAACUGGCUUCGCGUCGGUGGGCGAUAACCCCGCGGUGUGUCCUAAGCGGCACGCGCGUGCGGGCACGCUACCGAACGCCGAUGUCCGGUUUUCGUCGUCGUGCACUUCUCCCCUAGUAGAACGUCGCGACUCGCUGUGUGUCGGUCACCGACCCGGGUGCGGUUACUGUCACGUCGCCCGUAAAAACGGCGCGCGGCAAACACCCCCGGUCGCCCGACCAGCUGCCCGGCGGUACACGUACGUAUCAGGCCGCACCAACGGUGCGNCGAGAAGUAGUCGAGCGCACACCACGGUUAAAUUCGGCGGUAACGGACUUAGAGCCGUCCCCGAUCCUAGCGCGUUCAAGCCACACGUGUCCAAAGUAGACCUUCGACUGGCCUUGCGAACGUCUCGCGUGCUCUUCCGAGCGCUCGCGGGACCGAUACCGGUCAGCGAUGCUAUUGCUUUGGGUACUCUUAGGANCCGU
rnacentral:rRNA from 1 species